GACCCAGUAGCUCAGUUGGUUAGAGCGCGAGAUUGUGGCUCUCGAGGUCGCGGGUUCGACCCCCGUCUGGGUCCCCA
rnacentral:tRNA from 1 species